rnacentral:lncRNA from 1 species
AUAUUACCAAUAUGAAACCAAUAAACUUUUAAAUCAACAAUUUAAAUAUUGCCGGUAUGAAACCAAUAAUCUUUUAAAUCAUAUAAUCACGUAAGAUUAUUAAAAUUUUAAUCCAUUUAAGAUUCACGGUCAUGCUCGACCCCCAACGUAUAGAUACUCAUCACCAUGCCUCUAUGUCAGACUCCACACAUAGCAAUUAGCAUAUAGACUCAAUUCCUAUUCCCUCAAGCUAGGAUAAAUCAAACACUUACCUCGAAGGUUUACCGCAAAUUCAAUCCUUAAGCGAUACCCUUUCUUUUUGAAUUUGGCUCCAAUUCAAUUGUAUCUAUAUACAAUUGAUUUAGUAUCAUCAAUACUACUUAACAAAAUAAUCCAAAUGGCUAAAUAUAUAUUUGAUAACAUUCUGCCCGAAAUAGUGAAAAUUCACCCCGGACCCGCGUGGUCAAAACAUGAGGUUCUAACCAAUUUCCGACAACCCAUUCAUCCACGAGUUCAAAUAUACAAUUUGUUCUUAAGUUAGACCCCAAAACAAGGUCUAAAUCUCAAAUUAUUUGAAAACCCAAAAACUGAAAAACGACACUGAAACUCGAUCGAACCUCGCUGGUCUCGUACAACAGAAACGGGAAGAAAACAAAGAAGAUGAACAGCAGGUGGUGGUCUGCUGGUUCCGUCGGAGUGCUGUAGCGGCUGACUGGAGGUUCAGGUGGUUGUGUGGACGAAGAGGAUGAUGCAACAACAGCUGGUCGUGAAGCUACAGCAGCUGUAGGGUGCUGACUGGCGUUACUGGAAUGAACGGAGAAUUAAAGGAAUGCUGGGGUGUUUUCUCAACUUGCAUCGAAAGUUCAGUGUGACAAACAUGGUAUUUUUUCUCUAGAGACAAUUUGAUUAAGAUCAGGAGGACAGUGAGAAUGUUGUCUGUGGGGUCAAUUUUUGAGCGAAAACCGCGUAGCCUCUAAUCAUUUGUCCAAGUGAUCAUUUUAUGCAUUAGACAAAUGUUAUAAUAUCUAUCUACCCGCAUUUUGUGGCACCAUCUUAAUGUUUGGUUGUCUUCCACUUGUGUAUAUUAAGGUAAAGACUUAUUGUAUUAUCUGGGAAUUGUGAAUACC